AUACGGAGGGAGCGAGCGUUAAUCGGAAUUACUGGGCGUAAAGCGCGCGUAGGCGGCUUUGUAAGUCGGAUGUGAAAGCCCUGGGCUCAACCUGGGAAUGGCAUUCGAUACUGCAGAGCUAGAGUAUGGUAGAGGGAAGUGGAAUUUCCGGUGUAGCGGUGAAAUGCGUAGAUAUCGGAAGGAACACCAGUGGCGAAGGCGACUUCCUGGCCCAAUACUGACGCUCAGGUGCGAAAGCGUGGGUAGCGAACAGGAUUAGAAACCCCGGUAGUCC
rnacentral:rRNA from 1 species